rnacentral:rRNA from 1 species
GUAGGUGGCAAGCGUUGUCCGGAAUUAUUGGGCGUAAAGCGCGCGCAGGUGGUUCUUUAAGUCUGAUGUGAAAGCCCCCGGCUCAACCGGGAGGGUCAUUGGAAACUGGGGAACUUGGAGUGCAGGAGAGGAAAGUGGAAUUCCACGUGUAGCGGUGAAAUGCGUAGAUAUGUGGAGGAACACCAGUGGCGAAGGCGACUUUCUGGCCUGUAACUGACACUGAGGCGCGAAAGCGUGGGGAGCAAACAGGAUUAGAUACCCUGGUAGUCCACGCCGUAAACGAUGAGUGCCAAGUGUUGGGGGGUUUCCCGCCCCCCUCAGUGCCGCAGCUAACGCAUUAAGCACUCCGCCUGGGGGAGUACGGUCGCAAGACUG